CUAAAGCGUAGAACAGGAACCAAUCCUGGCUAGACCAUGUGUUGGCAUGUUAAAGCAGAACACCAUUUACAAACUCAAAGAGGGACGUGGGUAACAAAUGAGUCCCAGGUGAGCAGACAGGAAGACUAAACUGUGAACAGGUGUGGAUAAUCACACCAGGUGACAGCACCAUGUGAUGCUGUCAUUCUGAUGGAUAAUAAUAUGUGUGUUAUCAAGUGAGAGAAGAGUAGUUGAGUGCUUUUUAAAAAUUACUCUAAAAAAGGUUACUUUGUUAUUUACAAAUUACAAUUCAGGUGUUGAGAAAAUAAAUAAGGUCAAUUCCUCCCAUAGAUACAUACUAUGUAAAUGAAAAGUUUUUCUAGACAAUAUAUGUAAAAGCUUUUGAAAAUGUUCAUAUAAAGCUAUUUGUGGUGGCAUGUGCCUUUAAUGCCAGCUCUAAGGAUGCAGAAAGAGGCAGAUUUCUGUGAGUUUGGGGUCCUCCUGCCUGUGUAGUGAAUUUCAGACCAGCCUCAAAUACGUAGUGAGACCCUGGGCUAUGGUUUCUUCUGAUUGCUUGGUUGUUUUUGCUUUUUUAGGCUGGUCAAAGAAUGUAUAUAAAAGAUCACCCUAUUAUACAAGAGCAGUUAUUAAAUAUAAGAAUUUUAGAUGCAUCCUUUGAAGCUCUUCAUCUUGGAAAGAACGAGGGAGAGAGAAUGAGUGAAUUGGCUUUGGUUUCAGUUUCAGAUCGUUAUGGCUCAGGUAAACCCAGAGCACAGAGUGAAGUUUUUAUGAGUUUUAUUUUUCUUGGAUAUUUUAUGUAUUUACAUUUCAAAUGUUACCCACUUCCCAUGCUCUCCCAACCCCCUGCCCCUGCUUCUAUGAGUAUGAUCACGCUCCCACCCACCCAUUCCCAUCUCAGUGCCCUGGCAUGAAGAUGCUUGCAGCUGAACAUUACACUGAAUAUGGGGACCCCAAUGGAGGAGUUAGAGAAAGAACUGAAGGAGCUGAAGGGGUUUGCAACCCCACAGGAAGAACAACAAUAUCAACCAACCAGACCCCACAGCUACCAUGUAGGAAACCAUGAACUCAUGAGUACACAAGGAGGGAUCCAUGGCUCCAGCCACUUAUGUAGCAGAGGAUGGCAUUUUCCAGCAUCGAUAGGUGGAAGAGUAAAGGUUUUGAGCUCUAUAAUAAUUCAGCUCAAAACGGCUCCCCAGAGAGUCCUCAAAAGCCUUGGACAGAGCACAGUCAUCCAACGAAGCUGGCUGGUAAAGACAGGCUGAUGAAAAACAGAGCAGAUCACCUUUUCAGCCCCAAUGUGACAAGUAAGAAGAGGCAUUCUCUAAGUCACCUUGUCACCCAGAUCAUUGUUUAUACUUUGAUCAUUGUUUUUUGUGUCCCUUGGCCAGCUAGAAUACAGUUUUCAUAGAGGUUUCAUAUUAGUCCAAAAUUAGGAUUUUAUUUGGAAAACCCUUGACCUUAUAGAUCAAAAUGCACUGUAAAUGUGUCUUCAAAAUGGAUCGGGUUUCCAAGUUAGUGGAGAUCAUUUUUACACUUAAAAGAGUUGCUAACAAAGUAGUGAGGAUGGAGUAUACUGAAUAGAGACCCCAACGUCCAAAAGGCUUCAACCUCCAAAAGGCUUCAUGUAUUUACUCUCAUGUCUCUAGCACAUAUCUCAUCUGGUCCUGGAGAAAGUCCUUCUCCUGGUCUGUGGCGUCAGGAGACUUGUAGGGGUGCGUGAAGCCGACUUCUGGUACACAUUUGUCUCUGGCUCAGUGCUAAACAUCCUGCCCUCAGUGUAUGAUGGGUAUGCCAUGGCUCCUGCAUUUAAAGGAAUGUUGUUAUGUUUAUUUUACUUGUCAUUUAAUGUGACACUUGGGUUUUUAACACUAUUUCUAAUAGAUCAGCCUUCUAUCCCUGGAGAGAAGUGUGCAUAUACCACUAGAACAGCAGCUAACAUCUGUCUCCACUGGAGACCUCUGCACUGAGGUCUGAGAUGAGCUUGAACACUUUCUUACUUGUGAAAUAUCUGACUUCUUUGAUACAGUUCUCAACAAAUUACAUUAACUAUCAUUCCUGAAUUUUGGUCAUUUAAGUUUAUUUCUAUUACACUAGUCAAAUAAAUUAAUGAAUCGGGGAACAUGAGAAUUAGUGUAAAUGAGUAAAUAAGAAAAUUUAAGAUUUUUUUUUAUUGAAAGCAUAGGGUCAAAAUUACAUUUUUUUAUCAUGGCUUUUAAAAUAUAUUCUUUAAAA
rnacentral:lncRNA from 1 species